rnacentral:rRNA from 1 species
UACAGAGGGUGCAAGCGUUAAUCGGAAUUACUGGGCGUAAAGCGUGCGUAGACGGUUACAUAAGUCAGAUGUGAAAGCCCCGGGCUCAACCUGGGAAUUGCAUUUGAGACUGUGUAGCUAGGGUGCGGAAGAGGGAAGCGGAAUUUCCGGUGUAGCGGUGAAAUGCGUAGACAUCGGAAGGAACACCAGUGGCGAAAGCGGCUUCCUGGUCCAGCACCGACGUUCAGGCACGAAAGCGUGGGGAGCAAACAGG